UACGUAGGGUGCAAGCGUUAAUCGGAAUUACUGGGCGUAAAGGGCGCGUAGGCGGCCCGGUAAGUAGGGGGUGAAAUCCUGCGGCUUAACCGCAGGGCUGCCUUCUAAACUGUCGGGCUCGAGCACGGUAGAGGCAGAUGGAAUUCCCGGUGUAGCGGUGGAAUGCGUAGAGAUCGGGAAGAACAUCAGUGGCGAAGGCGGUCUGCUGGGCCGUUGCUGACGCUGAGGCGCGACAGCGUGGGGAGCAACAGG
rnacentral:rRNA from 1 species